AUAGGCAAAACUUGAUGUACUUUGGGAGGAUUAAAUGGGCUGAUAUUGUAGUUGUCUUCAUGCUGCAGCAUAUCCCUUAUUUGGUCCACAUUGUAGCACUUCUUAAGACUUUUGGUGUUAUUUGAAGUACUAGGUGCUGCCAUAGUGGGGAGGAUUUGCAGGAUUGACUUUCCCCUUUUGGGUAAGUCUUUGGUCUUCCAACUAAAGAGAGGUUGGGAGAGGACUUGGGCUGCCAAGCUGCUGUCCGAGACGGGCUCGCUGCCUCAGCCACAACGGGCUGAUCGGAUAGGGCCGACUUUUGGGCUUGGACAUAGAGGCCCGAGGUACAACUAUUAUGAGAUUUUGUUUUUCUUAAACUCUUUGGCCCAUCCAAGAGUAUUUGUAAUAGUAAUAUCCCAUAUUCUUUUCUUCCAUUCAUGUAAGAUGAUAAUGCAAGUUAAAGUAUUAUUCGAGAAGUAUGCGAACAUUUUCAUUUGGGGAGAACAACUUCA